UAAUGGUUUGCUAUAUUAAUUAAUAUGUUUAUUAAUAACAUUAUUGAUAUUAAAAUAUUAUUGUUUCUAGUAUUAUAAAGAAAGAUUUGAAUAUAUGUUUACAGUUACAGAUAUGGGUUUUUGAAAUAGUUGGUUUAAAAGCUAAUUUUUUAAUAGUAAUAAUAUAAUUAUGUACCUUUUGUAUCAGGGUUUUACAAUUUUAUGUAAGAAUUUAAGUUUCCCGAAGUAUUUCUGAUCUAUUAUAAUAUAGAGUUCAGCGUGAUAUAGUUAUCUUUAAUAUUGUGAUUGUAACGAAAAGUUAAUCGUAGAAUAGGAUAUCGUGUUGUCAAGAAUAAAAUAUAAUUUUGUUACGUAGGUGAAGUUAUACACCUGAAAGGUUUGUUCUUUGGUAAAAAGCUUUGCUGCGUCGGCUAAUGGUUGAGGGAUAAUCUUCAAUUAUGAUUUUAAAAAUGUUUCGUUUUGAUCAAAUUAGGAUUUGAAGCUUCCUUAAUCUAAAAUGGCGUUCUAGCAUGUUUAAAUUGAUAGAAUAAUUAGUAAUUUAUAUAAAAUUUUAAGUUGUAUAUUAGACUGUUAAUAAUAAUUAAGUAUUGAUUUUUCUAAUAAUGUAAGAAAUAGUAUAAUUAAUGUUUGUAAUAGUUUUUAUAAAUAAAUAAAAGUUGUAAAAGGAAUUCGGCAAGAGUUUUUCCGCCUGUUUACCAAAAACAUGGCCUUUUGUGUUAAUAUGAUAGGUCCGGCCUGCCCACUGAUUUAUUGUUAAAUGGCCGCGGUAUAUUAACCGUGCAGAUGUAGCAUAGUAAUUUGUCUUUUAAUUGAAGGCUGGAAUGAAAGGUUUUACGAGAUAAACGCUGUCUCUUAUAAAUAUUUGUAAUUUAACUUUUUAGUGAAAAGGCUUAAGGUUAAAAUGUUUCUGGAUGACAAUAAGACCCUAUAGAUCUUAAAUAUAUUAUGGAAAUUUUUAUUUUAGAUGUGUAGAUUGCUAAUUUUGUAAGUAUUUUAGUUGGGGCGACAUGAAGAAACAAAAAUCUCUUUGUGGAAAAUUACAUUUAUAUAUGUAAUGCCAAUUAAUUGAUCCUAAAUUUUAGAUUAUAAGAUUAAGUUACCUUAGGGAUAACAGCGUAAUCUUUUUUAAGAGUUCAAAUCGACAAAAAGGGUUGCAACCUCGAUGUUGGAUUAAGAUUUCCUUAAAAAUUGGUGUAGCAGCUGAAAUAGGGAAGGUCUGUUCGACCUUUAAAUUCUUACAUGAUCUGAGUUCAAACCGGCGUGAGCCAGGUUGGUUUAUAUCCACAGAUACUUAUAUUUCUUCUUAGUACAAAAAGGACCAGUAGGAGCAAAUAAUAUUAUUAUUGAAAAAAUAUAAAUUA
rnacentral:rRNA from 1 species